UCUAUUGCACCUUUAUUCCCUCAACUCUUGUAAUAGAAAUUCAGGGGUUGGGGGUCUGGAUUACUAUUCAAAAUCACCCGUAAUAACAUUUUUCCUUUUUUGGACCAAAAUAGCCUACCUCUCUUCUUCAUCGUUUUCACUUUCACUUCAACAGAUUUCUUCCUCGACAUUUAUCCCUAAAGUGAACCCUAGAAGUUAGCUCCUUAAUCGACGACAAAUCAAGCAUUCAUUCGCCAUCUUCAUCUUCAUCUUCCUUAUAGUUGGACCUCCUUAUUUACAGUAAGUGCCUUUGAUUCCUUUUUUUUUCUCUGAUUUUUUUAGUUAAAGUUCUUUCACUUCUUUCAACUUUUCUUUUCCCCUUUCAUAUUUGGAUAUAAACUAGCAAAGCAGAUUGUAAAACCUGCAAAGCAAAUUAUUCUUGGAGGAUUCGAAGAUAAGCAGCUAUUUUGGUUCACCGAAUCCUCCUUUCGACAGAAUUUCAUUCAUCUCCCAUUCACAAAAUUAGUCAAUUCGUUGAUCUGAUUAUUUUAGGGAAAUUUAGGGUUAGAAAGCUAAGCUUGUUUUUUUUCGAAUUGUUGGGCAUUUCUGUUUAUUGUAAGGGAUUUCAGGUUGCUUGUCUCAAUAGUAAGGGAUUUCAAUUUCAGGUUGGAAUUUGUUGUCUGUGGUAAAUGGGUUGAUGGAGUUUGGAUUUUGAGCUUUGAAUCAGUUACAGAGUUUUGAGCAAGAAAAAGAAAAAGAAAAUAGAGGCAGGGGAGAUGAGGAAAUCGUUUUACUAGUAAAUUUGCCAUUGCUUUGCUUUGCUUUUUUUUUUCAAUUUUGAUUCUGAAAUGUUGGGCUAGUUACAGUGUAAGCUAAACAAAGCAUUUCAGUUGAGAAAAUAAUUGAAGUUAAAUUAAAGAGAAAUUCGACAUAUGUGUUAAUAUGCUUUGUUUAUUUUUGAAUCUUGAUGCUUAGAAAAUUAUAAGUUGCAUAGAGAUUUAGCUACUGCAUCGGGUUUUAGAUAAAGUUUUACCAGCAUAAUUAGGUUUUCUUUUAAUCUUAUCAAUUAAACAUUUGAUUGAUAAUUUCAGUUUUUUGGGAUUUUAAUUAAUUGGAUAUUGGGUUCGAACGUUUGUUUAGUUUAAUGUAGCUAUAUAAUAUGUGGAAAUAUUUGGUAACAGCUAUCCUGAAAUUUGAUGUAUCAAUCCUUUGUGAUGUUGAAUGGCCUAUGUUGGGAAUUAGGGUUUUUGGUCAUCUUUAGAAAUUGGAUAGAUUUCUUACCUUGCUGCUUGUCCAUAGUUCCACCAAAAAAAAUAUGACCCUAUGUUAGGCCUUUUAUGGAGUUUAGAUGGAAGUUUUAGAUGUUGCAAAAUUAGAUUGUUUUUAGUGUAAUGGUUCUUUUUACUGAAUUUUGUUUAAUGAUGCUUUAUUUGAUACAGUUUAAUGUGCUUUUUAGAUCACAUGUUUCGGAUGAGAUGGAUCAGAGUAUUCAGAAGAAUACGGUGAGAGAACAGGGUAAUUUUCAAACCGUGUUCUUAACCUUAAAUGCUACUUUUUCUUCCUCUUCUUUCUUUCUUUUUCUUAAAUUUUGUUAGUAUAAUGUUAUAAGUUGAAAGAAGUAAGAGCAUUUAUUUCUUUGUAUUUUCUGCCCUCUUGGAAUGUACCGUAUACAUUAUGUUGUUGUGGUUAACUUUAAAAUUUUAUUGGAGUGUUUUGAAUACUAGGAGGAUAGAGGAUUGGUGGGAAGAAUGAUAGAAAAUGAAUGUAUUUUUUCAUUCAUAUGCUCUCUAAGAAUGAUUUAGAAGUGGAAUGCAAGAAAAUGAUAUACCUACUUAGUUUUUGUCUGUAAUCUCGCCAUCCUUUUUGUUUUGUUGGAUUAAAUAUUUAAGGUUUUAAGCUGUAAUUAGAAUAUGUCAUAGUUAUAAUUAAGAUGUCCUAUUGUUGUAUCGUGAUUAAAAUGUAAGUAUUCAUGCUGUAAGUAUUAAUAUUGUCUUAAAACAUUAUCUGAAGUGGAUUAAUUGUUGUAAUUUAAACGGUCUUAAUAAUGAAAUUGUGGUAUCUUAAAAUGAUAAAUUGAGAGGAGUUAUAGUUGUAAUUUAUAGUGCUUGGGUGCCGUGGUUAAAAUGUAUAACUCUGGGAUUGAUAUUGAUGAUGUGCUAGUAAUGAAUAAAUCGAGUUUUAUUUGCCAAAUGACAUGUUAUUUUAGAAAUACAAAUUGAGUGUUGCUAAUGGUGAGUUUUCUUUAAACUCCUUUAUUAUUUCCAUGCUUGAAAUUCUUAUCAAUUUUACAUGGAUGAUUCGGCGAUAGUUAAAUAGGGAAAAUAAUUGUUCUUUACAAAUUUCAUGGUUGCUACUGUUUUGUAUUGGUUAAACUUGUUUAUUUUAGAUUUAGUUGUUGUCCAAUUAGUGCAAAAAUUUCCUGUAGCUCAAGCAAAGUAGAUGAUGUUGCUACUUGUUUUUGUACUUUUAAAGCCCUAUUUAAGUAUUGCAAUUUGAAGUGUUUAGUAGUUGGAAAUUGAGAUGUUUUAUUGCUGUAAUUGAGGUGUAUAAAUGUUGUUAAUAGAGAUGUUAAAGUGCUGCAAAUUGAAGUGUUUAAAUGCUAUAAAUUAAAGUGUUAAAAUGUUGCAAAUUGAAGUAUUUAAAUGCUGUGAAUUGAAGUGUUAAAGUGCUGCAAAUUGAAGUGUUUAAAUGUUGUAAAUUGAAGUGUUUUAAGUAUUGAGGUGUAUAAAUGUUGUUAAUU
rnacentral:lncRNA from 1 species